GGGCGUCCCGCCGGGGACCUGAGCCGCCGGCCCCCGGUUCCGGCCCUCCGCGCUCUCAUGCUUCCUGCUCUUCCCGGCCCCCACUCCUCCCGCGCCCCGGGAGGAUGCUCUGACCUCUCAGAGCAUCAGGGCUCGGACGGACCGGCUGCGGGAGCGGGCUACGCUGUAAAUCCUGCAAAAUAGCUCAAAGUCAAUGAGGUGAAAAUCCCUGUGCUUGUUUACUCGACGGCGGCAUGUGAUUCCUCAUGAGUUUUAACAGUGAUUUCCACCCUCUAGGUCUCACCGGAGUUAAGGCUGCGAGGAGAGCCUGUAGUUGUUUCAGCGUAAAGGUAUCUUGUUUCCAGGAGAUUCAUUUACAGUGGGUAGAAGAAAGGAUUUGCAACUGACAAACUAAAAACAGGAAGGAGAAGGACAGAGGCAAAAAGAGGAGCCAGGACAAAAUGGAAGAGUCUGGAUGAUGGCUCCAGCUGAGAAGAUUUGUGAGUGUGCAGUGAGCAAGAAGGAAGGAAACCAGAGAGGAGUGAUGGGAGAAGGAGAUACGCAGAAAGAGGACCAAAGAGAAUAAGAAGCAAAUAAUCUCUAUGUGCAGCAAAAUAUUAGUGAGAUAAAAUGAAGCAAUGAAAAAAGAAUGGGACUGGUUAGACCUUGACCUUUGAGCAGCUGAUCAAAAAUUAUCUUUUUAGUCAGGUUUUAUCUUUCAGUCCUGAAAGAUUACUGAAUUCGAACAAGAAGAAAUGAGAGACUGAGUAUCUCUAGGUUUACACUUGCUCUUAAACAAUAUGAAUAUUUUUACAUGCUAAAGGAGGAAUUGAUGUCAAGCACAUUAUGGCCUGCUAAGGGUGACUGAAAAUGUGUUGAAAGACACAACAGAGUCUUUGGGAAGAAGCUGUGUCCUGCUUUAUGCAGAGCAGUUUUCAUCAGUGUCAGUCACUUCCUAACACAGCCUGAGUUACUUGGACCCAAUUCUGCGUGGAAAAAGUGACACAGGAUAACCAGGAAAUAACAGUGCUCCAGGACACGGGAUCAGUCUAGAAAGGCAGCAGCUUGACACUCAUCAUCUCUGAUGGGUGGGCUGGAUGGAGUUUGGCUCCUCUUGGCUCACAGCUGUGAGCAAGGUGAAAUCAGCAGGUGAAAGGAAACAAGUCUCUCACAUCCUCCCUGUGCACCUUCCCUCACCAAGGCUGACUUAAUGUCCCUGCUCUCUCACAGAGAAGAGUGGAAAUUUAUUUGUCUCAAAUUGAAAACAUGGUGUUAUAGAUGAGUAAUGUCAUGGUCAGCUCUCACAAUUAAGAGAUGUAUAUAAAGUGUAUUUAUUAGUGAUGUUAUUGUAAUAUGUCCUCCCAUAGUCCUCUUUCCCCUCUCCCCUAUAUUAGUCAGGGCAUUUGGGGAGGGCCAGCUUUUUACUAGGAGGUGUGGCAAAGCAACACCUGACCUCCAAUCAAGAUGUAAGAAAGUAAUCUCCCCCAACGGAUGGCAAAGAAGGAGUUGACUGACAAAACUUUGGGAGUGGGGUUAAAAGUAUAAAAGGCAGAGCAUUUAUUUUGUAGCAGAGUAUGUGGGUACUGGUUACAAGGAUGCUCAGUGCUGUAAUUUUUCCUUAUUAAUUCCUUUGUUGUAUUUUUGUUAAGGUUUAAUAAACCUUUGAAAUUUUAAAAGUGAGCUUCGCUUCUCAAUGGGAUGAACUAUAAAUUUGUAGCACGGUGUGGUUUUUAUGGGUUACAGUGGGGAGUUGAUGGGGUCUCCUGAGUGAUUCUGAAAUGCUGUCUAGCAGUAUUAUUCAGGAAAAAGAGCAAUGUGUAUUUUCCUUUAUUUACUUAAUCUGUUUUCCUAAGAGGUACUUCUAGAUCUAGUUUCAUUAACUGGUGUAGAAAGGGCUCUCUUCUGAAUAUUAUUCCCUUCAGAAUAAUAAAGAAUUCUGGAGACAGAUAUUUGGUAGUCUGUAUUUUUCCAGAUAAUUAUCUGAACUCUGCCAAUGGUACUUGUAUUCAAGAGUUUGACUCAGUAGGAAGUUGAACUGAAGCUCAUGCAGGUAGGUGAGGAAUUAGGUGUUAGUAUGUGCAGAUGCGAUAGCCUCUGGCCCAUCUGAUGAGGAUGAUGAGAGGUGCAACCCCUCCCUUCCUCCCUCCUUCUAGGCUCCUGGUAGUCUGGAGUUUCCUGGUGAUUGUUAGAGCUGAAAAGCAUUUGCUAAUGAAGCCUGCACUAUUAACAGAGAACAAGGGAAGGAGAGUAGAGACUUCCUGUGUUUGCUCAUUCCUGGCAAUCAUUACCUAGCUGCUGCUCCCAACUGUGACUCUCCCAGGUAAAUCACAGCCUAGACAUUCCAGUCCUGCCUAACUAGAGUUUCAGUCACUCUGCUGCCCUGAUAUUAGUGCAGCAAAAUUGAGAGGAAGUAAGUGAAAGCCAUUUGGAAGAUUAGUCACUGUUUCAACAUAAAGGACAAGAGACCACGCAGAAACUGACUGCUGGGGGAAGUCUGAUUAACUCACCGUGAAAAGAGAGUUUCCUCUAUUAGAAGAUGCAUAUCUGAUUUCGGACUCAAACCGUUGUCCUUUCUGUAAGCCGCCAUACCAAACGUUUUACCUGUCUUUUAGAGCGUACUUACCAGUGCACGUGUGGAAGUUUAGUAGGUGAAGGGGAAUACCUUUGAGUUGGAGAAGUACAAGACUAUAUAUAAAGAAAUGUGGAAGAAAACAUCAACUUGCAUGCAAUAAACCACAGGCAUCUUCAUUUAUGUGCCAUGAGUAAUGAAACUCCCACUAGUUGGAAAACAAAUUGACUUGCUAUUGCCCAGAGUAUCAUUUAUAGCAAUAUUCUUGGUGACUCUUUAUUUGGUCUGUCCUGAAGACAACAUUGUUCCUCACUUUUGGCAAGAACUUCCUGUGGAUGUUUCUUGGAUUGUACUUUCAGCCUUGUGUGGAAUAUGCAUUACUGUUCACAAAAUAUCAGCAGAAAACACAUGUGCAUUUUAAUAUCUACUUAUGUGCUAUGUCAAUGACAGAAAUAAAACUUGAUGUUAGAGUAUUAAA